rnacentral:rRNA from 1 species
GAUGAACGCUGGCGGCGUGCCUAAUACAUGCAAGUCGAACGAGGAACUUUAAUCUUCGGAUGGAAGUUUCCUAGUGGCGAACGGGUGAGUAACGCGUUGGUGACCUGCCCCAAAGUGGGGGAUAACAGUUCGAAAGGACUGCUAAUACCGCAUAAGAUCAAUGGGAUUAAAUGCCUGUUGAUUAAAGGCGAAAGUCGCUUUGGGAGGGGCCUGCGUCCCAUCAGCUUGUUGGUAGGGUAAUAGCCUACCAAGGCUAAGACGGGUAGGGGACCUGAGAGGGUGGCCCCCCACACUGGCACUGAAACACGGGCCAGACACCUACGGGUGGCAGCAGUAGGGAAUAUUGGACAAUGGGCGAAAGCCUGAACUAGCAACGCCGCGUGUGCGAAGAAGGCCUUGGGUCGUAAAGCACUUUUUGAGAGGAUGAGGAAGGACGGUACUCUCAGAAUAAGUCUCGGCUAACUACGUG